rnacentral:rRNA from 1 species
UACGUAGGGUGCAAGCGUUAAUCGGAAUUACUGGGCGUAAAGCGUGCGCAGGCGGUCUUGCAAGACAGAUGUGAAAUCCCCGGGCUUAACCUGGGAACCGCAUUUGUGACUGCAUAGCUGGAGUACGGCAGAGGGGGAUGGAAUUCCGCGUGUAGCAGUGAAAUGCGUAGAUAUGCGGAGGAACACCGAUGGCGAAGGCAGUCCCCUGGGCCUGUACUGACGCUCAUGCACGAAAGCGUGGGGAGCAAACAGG